ACUCAAUGAAAGUAAAAUUCCAAUGUUAUUGAAUCAAAAUAACUGUUAUGUUUAAUCAGAAUUAUCUCUCUGUUUGUGAUAAUGAAAAUUCGGGUUUAUGUAAUUUUUUUGUGCAACGCGGAUCGAAAAUUAAGUUGCGAGAGUUGUAUCGGUAUCAAUACUCGUUUCAAAUUCGCGGGCUGCAAGUUACGUCACCCUUGCAACGAAUUGUCCCUAGACGCGUCUUUCAGUCAUGUAAGCUCGAACAGCGCAUGGGCUAUUGACGACACGCACUCUCGCGCCGACUGUCGAAACUGAUGGCGGACGAAACGGGGUAUCGAAUUUUCGGAAAUAAUAAGCUACAUGCAACAAUGCUUCGAUCCCGUUGUACAUACAUACGUGCAUGCGUAUUGCGUGAUUACGAAUACUCUUUCAUGGUAUAUGUGCAAUGUAAAAUAUGGCCGCUUUAUCAUGGAGACAAAGGUUUGUUAUCGGAUUGUGUAAUAAUUAAUGCGAUAUGAAUUGUAUGUUAAAAAAAGAUUUCAUUGGGAAUUAAUAAUCAAAAGAUAAAAAAAAAGCAUUACUGCUUUGGACAUUGAAGUCCAAACAAUUUGUCUCUUUGAAAUAUCGACAAGGGCGUGCAUAUUCUGAAAUAAAAAUAUUUCGAAUGCUUAUGAGAAUACAGAUAUUUUGUUCGAAAAUUUGCAAAAAAGUAAGCGUCAUUCAAGAAAUUAUUAGCAAUGAGCAUUAAUAUUGAGCAUUCCAUCGUUUGAUUUACUUUGAAUUAUCAUAAUCUUAUUCAAAAAAAACAUGAUUUGAAUACGCAUAUUUAAAUAUUUGUGCAUUAUAACCGUUAAUUAAGAGUCAUUUCUCAUCAGUUAAUUUAAUUGUUGUAAAUCUGUUCUGUUUAUCUUUUAAUCUUGUGUUUAACUUCUCGAACGUCAUGAAUCAGACACGGAAUUGCAAUGUUUAAACGUACUUUAAACCACGAUGUACAAAGUAUCUAGGUACGACACGUGCGAGACGAAAGUGCCUGACUUCAGACGGGAAGAACAUAGACGUUGUAAAGUCGUACGGUUGGUCGCGUGCGCAUCCUGUAAGGCGCUCGUGGAUCCUCGUAUAGGCCGUACAAUUUUAUCCUAUAUUUAACGCGUGCUUUCGACCCGACCUGGCGUGACGCGUGUGGCCUGGCAUCUCUGCGGCUCGUUCGUUCGUCCGCGUGCGUCUCUCGAUCCGUUUGUCCCGUGACUCGUUUCGCGUCACACUCGGUCCUGCCUGCGAGAAUACGAGAAGUACGCGCGGGAGUGCGGCGCUUACGGAAAAUGUCAGUGACGUGACUGCACGCGGCAGCAUCGACACACGCAUCUCUCUGCAUUUUUUUCGAGCAAGAAUGUGCGCCAGGCAUCGACGCACGUGUCUACACGACUUCUUCCACUGGUGAUUGUGGUGGUUUCCCAUAGUGGAAACCGAAAACCUUAUACUACGUUACGGAAAGCGAGGCGAAAUCGUUCGUCGCCACAGCGUCCAAGCUGGCCACCGUGGAAGAUGUGGGUCCAAAGCGGCCCGAAGGCCCC